GAUGAACGCUGGCGGCGUGCCUAAUACAUGCAAGUCGAGCGAACAGACGAGGAGCUUGCUCCUCUGACGUUAGCGGCGGACGGGUGAGUAACACGUGGAUAACCUACCUAUAAGACUGGGAUAACUUCGGGAAACCGGAGCUAAUACCGGAUAAUAUAUUGAACCGCAUGGUUCAAUAGUGAAAGACGGUUUUGCUGUCACUUAUAGAUGGAUCCGCGCCGCAUUAGCUAGUUGGUAAGGUAACGGCUUACCAAGGCAACGAUGCGUAGCCGACCUGAGAGGGUGAUAGGCCACACUGGAACUGAGACACGGUCCAGACUCCUACGGGAGGCAGCAGUAGGGAAUCUUCCGCAAUGGGCGAAAGCUUGACGGGGCAACGCCGCGUGAGUGAUGAAGGUCUUCGGAUCGUAAAACUCUGUUAUUAGGGAAGAACAAAUGUGUAAGUAACUAUGCACGUCUUGACGGUACCUAAUCAGAAAGCCACGGCUAACUACGUG
rnacentral:rRNA from 1 species